ensembl:lncRNA novel transcript, antisense to KBTBD4
CUGACAUCCUGCAGCACAAUCACCCGGUUGUGGGCCUCCUUCAGGUUGGAAGUGAACAUGGAUCGGAAGAAGCAGCUCUGAGCUGAGAGGACCAGCCGAUGGAGCUGAAACUCCCGGCCUUCCACCGAAAUGGUGACAUCAGCAAAGAGCUCCUCCUCUAGACACAGUUUCAUGAUGCCUUGAGCCACACGGCCUGAAUGUGACCGAUCUUUGAAAGUGUAGUUCACAAAGUAGUUCUCAUCCAUGGAUGCUCCAGGCUCCUCUGGUGAUUCCAUGCUAGCCAACUUCUCUCUCUGCCAGCUGUCUGCAAAGCAACACCAUCUUGAGUAACCUGAGGAAUUCACAGCCAUAGUCUGUGAAUCCAACUGUCCAACUCAGGGAGGGAAAAGGAAGAAGUGAGAGCAAAGUGGGUCCAGAUUGGCCUUAGUCCUGGCCCUGUCCAUGAUGUCCCUGACGCUAUCCUUUAACCAAAUCUGGGUUCGUUAUCCCCAGUGGCGCCCCUCCGCUAAUGAUAUAAAUAAAAGUUCCAACUCUGGGUGUUUUCCUGAGAAAA